UCUCUCGAAUGGAAAUAGACAGCCUGAUAGAAAUACACUUCUUCCUUCUGAUCCACGACUGACAUCCUGCUCUUGCCGCCCCUGAAACUGCCGGGGCAGUCCCAGUACAUUUAACUCCGCCCCUCCUUGAGAAAUCGAGCCUUUAUUUAUACAAUGUCUGUGGUCCAACUGAGCUCAGAGGGUGUCUGCGUGUGUUGUGUGUUUGUGUGUGUUCUUGUGCAUGCGUGUGGAUGUCUGCAUGUGGUGGGGGAGAUGUUCUGGAGUCAUAAGAUCGGCUGGUUCCGAGUGGUUUUAAUCAGCGAACCAUUAGGGGAUCAUGGAAAACUUUUUUUCGGGUAACGAGAACUGAUCAAGCUGAGGGCAAGACUUCCGUUCCUUGAUUGAGUGACUUAAAGGAUGUUAUAAAAACAAGACAGCUCCGGAAGCAAAAGAUUGGCACCCUAUGGAGUUUAGGUUAUUGAUUACGACUACUGGUGGGUUUUUAAACUCAGGUCUGGGUUUUUAAACCCAGGGUGAGUAGAUGACUGUCAUUCAUGGAAGUAUUUUUGUGAAACGUAUACUGACUUUGGGGGACCCCAUGCUUCUUUGGCGAGCUUCUUUGGAAAGUUCAGAAGAAGACAUGGAGCAAACUUGACUUCACUGUGGAAAAAAGGACAAUUUUCUGACUUUUACACUGCCAACAACAACAAAAGAUACCUGCUAUGCAUUUUCCAGCAACGUGGACAGGGGCCAAGUAAAGGUGAACUGGUCAUGGUUUGUCGCCAGAUUUUCCUUUGUCGACGGCGUUUCUGCCCACGACCCUUCUUCUUGGGCUUAGUAGUAGCAAUCUGCCUCUUCUAUCAGACUUUGACACUCAUAGGGACAAGGAAACUUAUAUCAGCUGUUACUGGGGCUUCCCCAUACAAACUGGCUGAAAUUUAUCAAAGCCAAUCCAAGGAAACCAUCCCAAGAGAUACAGAUUGCUUCCUGUCAUCACAUGACCCUCAGGCAACUGGCAAGAUUAAAGAGUCUAUUGAGAAGCACUUUGGAAUCCAAGAGAGAAGAGCAGUGCUCUUUGUGCCUCCUUCUUACAGCCAAAAUGAACUUCAGCUUUAUCAGCACAUUCUCACAUAUCAUGGUUAUUCCAUUAUUACCUCAGAAGAAAGCCUUAGAGCUGGCCUUGGGCUUGAGCUGCUGGACCAAGGUGAAUCAGACUCUUGGGAUCUUCUCAUCUGCCUGCCUCCUAGGAAAGCUGAUACAAAGUCCUGCAUCAUGAAAGAAGACUUGUACCAAUUGCAUUUACAUCAAAGGGUGAACAUACUACCAGAAAUACAGCAUCCACUUUGCAACAAGGAAGGAUUAUGCCAAAUCAUGAGAAGAUUUCCAGAAUUACAUCUUCCAGUUGUUCCUUCUGUAUGUCUGAAUGAUCAUACACAGGUAAAACCGAGCACUUCAAACCAUCCUUUAAUGACAGAGAAAUCUAAUGGGAAGUCCCCUGUACCCCGAAGGUCAUUCUGGAACUGGCCUCAUCUUGAACAGCUGAAUCAAACACCAGCCCCUGUGACACAUAAGCAGUUUUUUAAAGCCAAAGACCUGUCUGUGAUCAUUAAAGCAUAUGUGCUGGUGACAUCUUUAACACCUCUACGGGCCUUCAUUCAUUCAACUGGUACCAUUUGGAAUCCACCCAAGAAAAAACGUUUCACUGUCAAGCUGCAAACAUUUUUUGAGACAUUCCUCCGGGUCAGUUCUCCUCUUCAGACCUUUGAUAAUAUGAAGGAAGCUAUAAGUAAACUUCUGCUGGCAGCUGAGGCAUUCAGUGAAACAUCUACUUUGGGACCAAAGACCAUCAAAAGGUGCAGUUUAUGUUUUCAACUUUUAACAUUUGACAUUGAUUAUAGCAGUUCUUUGAACCCAUUAAUUCUUCAGGUGCAUGAGAAUUUUGAUUUUCAAGUUGAUGGCGAUCUUAACUUGGAGGACCAAAAUACAGAAGAAUUCCUUUUAAAAGACACUUUCAAUUUUCUCUUUGCCAACGAGCUUUCACUGUCUAUUUUUUCUGAAGCACUUCAAAGAAUUUACAGAUCAGAUAUAACUAAGGAUGAAGGAUUUCAAAAUGAAUUCAAUCCAUGCCUCUCUUUAGAAGAGAUAAAUUCAAUUAUGACAUUCAUAAAGGAACUCAAGGGUCUGGGACAAUUUCAACUGCUUCUCCCAUCAACUUCUCCUGGGAUUCAAGCUUUUAUGCAUGAACUUUAUUAUGUUGCAGAUCCUAUCAGAAAGCAUGGUUCAGUUCUGACCCAGCACUGGUCCCUCUUAAAUUUAUUCAGACAAUUACAGCUCAUGAAUAAAAAGACUCAGUUCUCUUCUCUAGAAUGGAGAAACAAGAACAGUUUAAGAGAUUUACCCCUGAAACAAGCAAAUCAUAGGAAUAUGUUUCCAGAUAAUAUUAAGCCAAGAAUUCCUUUGGAUGCAGAUGAAAAUAUCAUAGUGCCACCUUUAAUGAAUGAGACCAAAGAAAUACAUUGUAGUCAUGAUAAAGACACACUAUCUCAUAUCAAACAGAUCUUUACAAAUCCACAUUUGGACCUGAAUCCUGAAUUUAACCCAAAUAUCAAAGACUACUACUCUGAAGUCCCAUUUGAUAUUAUAACAAUAAAAAUUGGAGCAGAGACUUCUAAUUGUCAAUGCAAAAUACAUCUGGAUGAAAAGGCAGGACCAAGUUUUGCAAAUUAUCCUCUGGGAUUAGGAAUGAACAAAAUCCUCAUUCUUGUGGUAGAUGAAUCUCAAGUGAAUGGUGAAGUCCUCAGCAUUUACAAACUCACAGUUUACCGAGAAGAUCGCCCAAGUCUACCCUUGUUCAAUGACUACAUGGCUUGUGGUUUUGUGCAGGAUUGUGGUUUGAAGAUUCACCCAGAGGAAACCUGUGGAUUACAGCCAUUGUCAUCUGAUUACAUUGCAACCAUCUCCCAGCCUGAAUUAAAGAUUUGUAAGUCGGGGGACAUCAAAGGACAGUGGAUUGUACCAUGCCUUAGCUGUUCAGACAAUAGAACCUGUGACUGGAGAGAAAUAACAUGGCAGCCUCAUAACUGCCAAUACAGUGUCCUGUCAAAGACUCAACUCCAACACUGUCUGAGAGGAAGAAAGGUCCUUUUCAUUGGAGAUUCAACCAACAGAGGAAUAAUGUAUUAUCUGAUUGAAAGACUCAAUGAAACCCUGCAGGAAUGGCAGAAAGUACACAGCAUUAAAUCUUACUACAAUGUCAACAAUGGCAGAACAUUCAUCAGUUACUCCUACUAUCCCCAGUUCUGGAUCACUGUUUCACAAAGACCAACAUUUGAAAAAGCCCUUGAACAACUCUUGCAAAGAUCACGUCCCCUUGAAAACACAGGCCAGACUAUAUUAGUUGUUGGUGGUGUUCAGUGGCUUAAUUCCAAUCAUCUACAAAUUAUUCACAAGGUUUUAAAGAGGGAAAACUUAUUAAAUAUUCUGGUGGUUAUCAAAAGUCUGGGAAUGGGGUUUCAUCUGCCUGUGGAUGGAGUACAUUCUUUAACACAGAGUGAAGUGCAGAAUUUAUGGAAAGAAAAUUGGAUUAUUCUAGAUUCAGCAAAAAGAUACGGCUAUGAAGUUGUUGAUACUUUCAGCAUCACCAUGGGACGCUAUAAGGAAUUUCUGCAAGGGAAGUGUGGAUGCCAUUUCCAUGAGGAAAAAGGCAGUAAGUAGUGUGGCACAGCCCUGGAGGAAGGCAAGCUCCAGGAAGGGACUCUUCAGAGACCUUCCAAAGUGAUGACCUAAGGAUUAGAGUGUGUUGACCUCCCUGCACAAGAUCCAAAAGGAACACAAAGCAAGAAAAGAAAGACAGGAAAGAUGAGUACUUCCCAAUGUGGGUACCUGGGGCAAUAUCCCAGGCAGCCUUCCCCAGACAAAACUCUGGAAUUCCAUUUUACCCUAAAUGACCACUGUUCCUAUUUUAUAGCCAACUGAACUGGGGCACAGGGAGCUAAAUUAGUCAUAACCAUAUUAACAGAUGAAACCAUAGUGAAAAGUAUUCUUUUUUCACUUAGCUACCAAUUGUAGGCAUGCCAUUGCCAACAGACAACAAUUUCCAGAAUAAAAACAUCACUCUCUUAGAGAGCCUCUUUCCUUUGUUCAGGAAGCAGAACUGUGCUUAGAAACACAACAGUACAUAUUCUGAUGGGGACUCUGAAAGACAAAAUACAAGAUUUUGUUGCCUCUUUUAAAAGUUUUUACAUAAUAUGUCUUCAAUUAGUUUUGUAGUGAAGGGGGGGGGGGGAAGGGGUCUGCUUUUCUUUUGCAGUGUUAGUGCCCUGGUAGGCUAAAAGAGAGACAUGCUCAGAAGAUUUCCAGCAUAGCUCCACGUAAAAACAGAAGACGCCAUUUCCCCAUAAUUACAUUCCCUGAUUCUCCUCUACAGCCAUCCAGUGUAUAUUGAUAAUCAUAAAACGUAAUUAUAUACAAAACCCUUCAGACCUUCAAAAUAUGUUGUGUUGAUUAUAAUUAUAGACCAGCUACCUUACAAAAGUAUAAAUGGCCACAGGAAACAGUCAGUGACUACAAGGACUGCCCUUCCCUCUUUGUUGCUGUCACUUGGGAUUUCCUUCUUACCACUCUCCCUUUUCCCUUUAAUAGAAUGACAAAUUUAGAUCUGUAAAGGAACUUAGAAGCAUAGAAGUUGUUGUAACAACCCCCUCAUAUUAAAAAGAAGAAAAAGGGAAACCCAGAGAAGUUAAGGGAUUUGCCCCAAAUUGCCUAAGUAGUAAGUAGCAGAACUGGGAUUUGAAUCCAUAUCCUUGGAAAUCAAAUCCAGAAUUUUUUUUCAGCUUCCCCAGCAGCUGCUUGGAAUAACCUCAUUCUCAUUUCUUACUUCAAUUCAUGCAAGCCAAGAAGGUCUAAGCAUAACAAUUAAAGUAUGUAUAAUGCUACAAAACCCUUUUGUUGCAGUAACCUUCAGGAGCAAAUAUUUUCCAUAUUUUGAAGAUGGGGAAAUUGGGUCUCAGAUCAGAAAUUGAUUUGGCCAAGGUCAUGUAGUUGAUAAGCAGGAAAUGGGGAAUUUCAACCUAGGUUUCCUAUCUCCAGUGCCAACCACAAUCUAGAAUUGAAUUAUCCUCUCCAGGGGCAGAACUGGAAAUUCCUAGGAGAGAAAAAAAGAAGCCUGAAGCCACCUUCCCUCACUCUAUCAUAGCUGCUUCCUGGUUCCCAAGUACCAAUACCGUAAUCCUUAGCAGUGUCCCACAGACCCAUCCUACUCUUCACCAAUGAACCCUUGAUCAGCUUCUAUGGCAAAAUGUUCCACAGACUUCUCUCUGGAAUAUAUAUCAUUACAGUCAAUCUUUAGUGUCCAAAGUCUCACCUUUAAAAACUAUGUGCAGAUUAUCUUUCCUUAGUGAAGUCAAGAAAAUGGACUAAGAAAGAGAACAAGGAGGGAGAGGUUGAUGGGAAAGAGCCUGCUCAUUUUACUCCAAAAUGAACCAGAAAGGAGAGUACUAAGGGGUUCCAAUGAAUGAAUAAGAAAGUGACCAUUCUAAUUAACAGACCUGACAAAAAAGAAAGAGUGAAUGUGUAGCCAACCAUAUCAAGGAAUUUCUCUAGUAAAUAGAAUUGGUCCUGGAUUCUCCAACCUUCUCUACAAUCCCUCACCACUUUCCCUUGAGAGAAUCACUGCUCCCAGGCCAUUAGACACAUCACUUGUGACUUGGAUAUUGGGGAAUCGCCUUUUCUAUUAUCCAGAGAGGAUAAAAAUCAGAGAGGGAAAAAUUCCAAAUCCUACUUCUUGGGAUAAAUGCAUAGGUCUAUCAUUCUAAAUUUUUAUUCUUAAUACCUUUCCCCAUGAAAACAAGGUUAAAAUAUGCUUAGUAGGUUUUAUAUUAAAAGGACAUUAUGGAUGAAAUAAGCUCUACAAGAGAUUGUUUUUGUUGGUUGUUGUUCAGUAGUGUCUGACUCUUUGUGACCUCAUUUUGGAGUUUUCUUGGCAAAGAUACUGGAGUGGUUUACCAUUUCCUUCUCCAAUUAAUUUUACAGAUAAGGAAACUGAGGCAAGCAGGGUUAAGUGAUUUGCCUAGGAUCACAUAGCCAGUAAGUGUCUGAGACCAAAUUUGUACUCAGGAAGAUGAGUCUUCCUGCUUCCAAGCCUGGCACUCUAGGCACUGUGCCAUCUAGCUGAAUAACAUUUCAGAAAAUGCUUAAUGAAUGACACAGAUCCUUGGAGUUUGGAGGGAACUUAGAGAUCAUCUCACUGAACUUCCUCAUUUUACAGAUGAGGACACUUUUAAAGUGCUGUUUUGUAACCUAACCAAUCCUACCUUGAGGACUGCCUGCAUCAGUAACAAAAAAAGUCCUUGGUUCACAGAAUGGUCUUCUUUUGCUGAGCUUGAUGCCCUUGUCACACCCUCAUCACAGAUUAGUUUCAUUUAUUCUCAAAGAUUCUCAUACUGUGGAGAAAGCGAGUUCUUAUCUCCAUCAAUGAUGUGUAUGUAGAUAAAUCUUUUAACAGACAGCUGUAUUACACUCCUCUUCAGUGCCACACCUACUUCUCAGGAUACCUGGGUUGAUCUUGGUAGCAGCAAGAUCCAUUUUUAUCUCUAUUAUGUUUCAACUAAAAUGUGCCUCUGGAAGAUUUACCUUUCCAAUUACAGUAUAAAUCUGAUAAUAUCUUUUUCAUCCACCUCACACCCUUAUUCAAAAUUAUUUAAAAUUAUAACUCAUUCAUUGCCUACAAGAAAUCUUUUCUAAUUGUUGAGUGUGGACAAGAUACAAUGGCAAUCUCAGUGCCUAGAUGUGCCAUUUUUAUCUUUAGGAAGUUAGGGUAAAAGGCAUAUUUGAUUAUUUUACCAAAAGUCAAUCACAUGAUAGAAUAAAAUGCCAUAAAAGACAAGUGCUGGGUGUGGAAUCAAGAGGGUUUGGAUGCAAUUCCUGUGCUGGGUCUGGAGUCAGGAAGGUCUGAAUUCAAGUAUUUAAGCCUCAGAUACUUCCUGGCAGUGUGACCCUGGGCAAGUCACUUAAUCUCUGUCUGCUUUAUCUGUAAAACAAAUAAUAAUAGCACCUUCCUCACUGGGUUAUUAUGAGGAUCAAAUUAGAUAAUAUUUUUAAGGUAUUUAACAGUGCCAAGAACAUAGUAGGUACUUUUUUUUAAAAGGCUUAUACCAUUCCUCCUCUGGCACUCAUAAUACUGGUUUCAUGACCAUCAGCAAGUCACUUUAAUUCUCUCAGCUUCAUUUCUUUCAUCAAUCAAAUAGAGAUAAAAAUAUCUGGAGUAUCUACCUCACUGAAUUGUUGCAGGGCUCAAAUGUAAUCAUGUCUUGAAAGUUCUUUGCAAAACUUUGCCUGUGUAAAUGUCCAUCUUUAUUACCUCCAUGUUUAGCUAAAAUUCCUUUUCAAGGAUGUUUAAUGCUAAUGAAUGUCAACAAACUAAAAAAAAGUUGAUGAACCAUUUUGAACAAAUAAAUAAUAACAGUUGAGUGAUUCUGGCUCACAUGGGCAAGAUGAGGUGUUUCUAUGACUCAUCACUUCUCUCCAUGCUCAUGAAACAGAAAAAAAAAAAAUAGGAAAUUGCCAAACAAGAGUAGGAUUAUACCUAGUUCUGUUAGAAAGAAAGUAUAUAUUGAUAGAUUUGUAGAACCAGAAAUAAUAUUAGAGAUAAUUUAGUCUAGGCUACUCAUUUCAUAAUAAAAUAUUAAUUAAUUAACCAGGAUAUUGAUUAACAUUAAUAAUACAAAUUAAAAAUAAGAAAAAUCAAGGACCAGAGAGAUAAAGUGAUUUACACCCAGUUUAUGUUUAGGCCACAGAGCCAGGAAAUUCCCUAACUAGGUCUCUAACUUGUUUUCUGACUUCUUGAUCCUCUUAUUCUCCACAUCGGGUAUUAUUUCUAUUACUCCCAUAUUGUCGUGUAUCAUCUGGACUACUUUCAUUCAUUUAGAUAUCAAUUUAACAUGUAAUUGUUAAGUGCCUACUAAGUGCAAAGCAUUACUUGAAGUCUCCAAUCUAAUCUAACCUUCAAUGGAUUGGACUAAUCAUUUGUAAUAUCUUUCCAGUAAUCUUUUUUCUCAUCAGAAUUUAUUAUUGCUAAUAAUAAUAAUAAUAAUUGAUUACACUUGCACAGUGCUUUUCAGUUUUCAAAAAGAUUUCAUAUUUGCACCUUUAUGAUCAAAACAAAUCUAUUUCAUGGGCUUCAAUUAUCAUUGAUGAAAUUAAAGAUUUUACUAUCUCUUUCAUCUGUCAGAGGAGGAUAUGUUUUCCUCAUAAUUAUGUCAACAAUUUCCCAACUAGUGAACAUCAAUUUGGCAAAAUUGCCCAUGCAAAUUAGCUGAAUGGGUGUUUUCCUGCUGCAUAGAAACAGAAUAUUGCCUUCCCAGUAUUUAGAAAGGGUAACAAGCAAUAUUCAGAAAAGUUGUGCAAUAUGUGUCUUGAAUGAUUCCCCUAAGUAAUAUAGCAAACAUUUGUUGACCAAGCUGAAAGACUGGGAAAAUUCUAGUGUUAUAUUCCCUGAAAAGACCAGCUUUGGAAAUGAUCAAAACAAAAUUUAUUACUUAAUUCUUUAAUUCUUUUUUUCUGAGCCCAGUGGAUGACAGAACCUAUCAGAAUCUCUCUCUAGGCUUUUUCAAAUAUUAUAGUAAUUGUAUAAAAAAUAGCACAUAUUCUUCUAAAUUCUGGUCAAUAAAUUAAUAAUAAAGUAAAUAAUAAUGAUUUAUAAAAUAAAUCUAUUAAUCAUCAAAGCAAUUAUUAAGUCAUCCAAUAGGUAUUUAUUAAUCAUUUACUACAUGUCUGGCAUUGUACUAAGUUCUGUGGAUGUAAAUAAAGAAUUAUUUUUUAAAUGAAAGGUCCCUGACUGGCAAUACCAGACUCUGAAUCCUGAUAUUUGAUGUUUCAGCUUGAUUCUCCCUUUCCUAUGUCCUUCCUUUCUAGGUUCCCCUUGAUCACACUCUCUCAGCUGGUAUCCUGGUCUCCACUGGAUAUGGCUUCUGCCCUUAACGUUGUUCCCUGACUCACCCUUCUAUCAGAUGUAGACUGAUACCACCUUACCUUUGACUCCCCUUCUUGGUAUAAGAUGAUGCCUUGAAAGAACUUACCUUUGAGUCAAUUCUUAUCAAGUUGUUCAUGACUCCACCCAUUUGACCAUUUGGCACAUCUUUGCAUGCCCCUAAUAACUGUUAGCCCCAUUUUCCCAAAUUGAAAAGGUCUCUAUAGUGAAUAUUUGAAUAUCCCCACAGUCCAAAAUUCUACUUCAGACUGAAAACCUUCCUGGCAGGAGUUAUGAGCUGGACUAUGAGCUGGAAAUUUUCUGAUGAGUAGUAUACGAGUUCUUCAGCGGUUAAAACAUCCUAACCCACAUGAGGCUCACUACUUCUGGCCCCCUUUCUGGUCAAACUGAGGAGCUGGCUAAAUUUGAGUUGAUUUUUGUUGUUGUUUGGUUUUUUUUAGCCCUGAGCAUAUUGUACCUAAAACUUCACCCUUGAGAAUCCCUCAAUGACCAAGCCAAGUUGUCCUGGUUGUAUUUCACUAUGGCGGAGAAUCCAGAAAUAGUUCACAUUAUUAUUAAUAGAAGAGAGCCCCCUACUGGAAAACUCUGGAGAAUUUUGUCUCCAGGCUAAAAGAUACAUUUAAGAAUCUGAUGGAGACUGAAAUAACCAAUAGGUCCAGUGGCUUACAGAGGGGGCAAAGCAGGGUCAUGGACUAUUCCAGUCUCUGAACCAUGAAUGACCAGUAAAGAGAGAAUGAAUGAGGUAGCCUUGAUAGAAAAAUUUGUCAAGGGUCUGACAGAGUGGCUAAAUAAGCUUCUAAUUGUCCCUACUUAAAUUCAACUGCACUGAUACUGGAUUGGAAGCUUCAGACCUGAUUCACCAGAUUCUAUAACCAAUGGCCCCCAAUUUCCCAACCAUUCUAAUAAUACCCUUCUCCCUACAAUCUCACACACUACCUUGAGAAAUACAAACAACUAACUUACUAGGAUUCAGUUAUACUUGACUUUCACCAGAUUCCUGGGUGGGAGCAUGGGUCAGGGAGAAAGAUAAUCCCUAUACUAUAUGUCAACAAAUGUCUCUGUCAUCAUUAAUUAAAUUUGGCCACAAAAUGGACAAUGACAUGGUGAACUAUCUAUCCCUGUGCAUUCUUCUAGACACAAUCUGCCCCAGAGUAGAACUAUAGACAUGAAGAUGCCAUCCCAAAGGAGGCCAGCAUUCAAUGGAAGUCCAGCUACUACUUACUAUCUGAUUUUUCAAUCUCAAACACUUUUGGUCAGUCCACCCAAAAUUCAAUUAAACUCAAACCCAAGGGACCCUGUUUAAUCAAUUUAGUUUGCAGGUCCUUUCUAUAUGCUAACAUAUUUUACUAACUCUAGCACAACAAACAUUACCUCUCACCUGUAUAAGUCCUAAAAACUCUAUGAUCAAUUACCAAAAGAAAACUUCUGAUGUAGAUGAUCUUAAAAUUAAAUAAUAAUUUCAGAAAGAACAUUGACUAAUUUCAGUUGUCUGCAGAAGAUCAGGUGAUCUAUUUGUAUCAAAAAUGUUAAUAUUUAAGUAUUUUAAUAGAAUUUUAAUUUUAACAGAACAUAAGCAAUAAGGCUUAUUAACAAUAUUAAGGAGCUAUUCUAAAAUUCAGAAGAUUUAACUAAUCCUGUCCUAAAACUCUUCCAUAUUAAAACAAUAGGCCAAGUUCGUUAUGGACCAGAGUUAUGAGAUAAAAAAAUAUUUGUAUCAGUUGCUUGGUAAUCAACAGAGACCUGAUUUUAAUGACUAUCACUGUCUAUCCAGCCAACCUCUGUAGGGUUAAUUAAAGACUAGAUAUAAGGGUAAGAAUCUAAAUAAACAUGAGAAUGGAACUGAGUCUAUUAUUUUAGGGAUGAAUAUAUAAUGAGUAGCCCAUAAAAUAGUUAUAUAACUAGAAAAUCAAUCAAAGGAAGGAAGGAAAAGUUAAUGAAACAUUAAUAUUACUGGCCAAGAUCAAAAUUGAGCCCAAUAUUUUUGUUUGAUUCUAAUUCCAUCAGUGUAGGAAACUCCCAGGGUAGUAACUCCAUCCCCCCAAUAUAUAUUCAUAGUUUUAUACCUUAUAGUCUUGAAGAAUUACCUAGAACCCAAAAAGGGUUAAAUAACUUUCCAAUGUCACAAAAUUAAUAUGUUUCAAAAGUAGGUCUUAAAUUUAAGUCUUCCUGACUCCAAUGCUGGUACUAGAUCUAAUAUGCCAUACUGCUUCUCAAGCUCAAGAUAAAAAGUAAUGAAUAUCUAGGUAUAGAUGAGACAGAGAGAGAAAGAAAUAUGAUUGUUGGAGACAUCUGGUGGGUAUUAGAGAUGCCGUCAAAGGAGAGAGGUUAGACUUGAGAGUUGGAAACAAAAAGAAUCCUGAUACUGGAUAUUAGAAUACAAAGCAACAUAUUCAGCAACUGAGGAACUUGGCCAUAAGUCAGGAAACUUGGUCACUAGUGGCUAGGGUGAGGUUUACUUGCUACUAAACCAAUGGUGCUGCUUGAUUUACUGCUCUUUAAAUUGCCACUGCCUGGGGCAGGUUAUAAGUUGCUGUUGUUCAAAUUGUACCAUACUAAUUUGACUAAGUCAAGACUAAAUUUGUCCAGGUAAUGCAGCUUAAUUAAAAGUAUUCAUAUCUUAUCAAAUUGUUUGCCUUUCUUAGAGUACUAAUAAAAGCCAGUAUACUGAAGUAUUUCCAUAUUGCCAACAGCAAAUUGCAACAUCCCUAUAGGAGAAGAAAAGGGAAUAAGCAUUUAUACAGAAUCUUCUUGGAAGCACCAAAAACUUCCAUACCCCCCAAGAAUGAACUCUGAAAAUAGCAAUGUGAAAAAACCUGAAGCCUGGCAUGGUCCCUCUCUACCCUACCCCCAACCCUGUGAUCAGAAUCUAAUUUUAACAUAAAGUUCAAACACAAAGAAUAGAAAUGAACAAGCAACCACAUUAAAGAACCUGACUAUAAAACUCUACUCUGGUGACCAAGGUGCAAACUCAGAAGAAAAUAUUUUUUUAUAAAUAUAUAACUAUAUUUUUAUUAAGAAAAUAAUUUUUAAACAACUAUGAGUAAAGCUUCAAAGAAAAAUGCGAAUUAGAAAAAAAGUUUAAUAAGAAUCCCUGGAAGAACUAAUUUUUUUUAAUCAGAGAAGAGUGGCAGAGGAAAAAUUAGGAAAAUGAAUGAGAGCAAUACAAGAAAAUUGUGAAAAGACAAUAAACAGUUUCAUAAAAAUACCUUAAAAACCAAAAUUGGCCAAAUGGAAAAAAGAGGUACAAAAUUCACUGAAGAAAAUAAUUCUUAAAAAUUAGAAUUUGGUAAAUAGAAUUAAAUGGCACCAAGAAACAAUAAAACACAGUCCAAAGAAAUUUUAAAAUGGAAGAAAUGCAAAAUAUCUCAUCAGAAAAAUAAUGUCCUGGAAAAGCAGUUGAAGAGAUUUCACUUAAGAAUUAUUCAACUACCUGAAAGCUAUGGCCAAAGAAAAAGCCUAAACUUGAUAUUUCAAGAAAUUGUAAAGGAAAAUUGCUUUGAUAUUCUAGAACAAUAAGGUAAUAUAAAAAUUGCAAGAAUCUCCCAGUUACUUCCUGAAAGAUAUCGCAAAAUGAAAACUCCCAGAAAAAUUAUAGCCAAAUCCCAGAGCUCCUAGGUUAGCAAGAAAAUACUUCAGGCAGCCAGAAAGAAACCAUUCAAGUACCAUGGAGCAACAAUCAAGUUCACACAAAAUUUAACAGCUACUACAUUAAAGGAGCAAAGAGCUUGGAACAUUAUAUUAGAAAAGGCAAUUACAAACAAGAAUGACUUACCCAGCAAAACUGAAUAUAAUCUUUUAUGGAGAGGGGAAUGGACAUUUCAUGAAAUAAAGGACUUUUAAAAAUUCCUGAUGAAAAGACUAGAAAUGAAUAGAAAAUAUAAUUUUCAAAUACAAAAUUCAAAAGAAGCAUUAAAAAUAAAAUAUGGAAGAGAAAUCAAGAAAUUCAAUGAAGCUAAACUAUCUACCAUUUAUAUGAGAUUAUACAUGCAAUUCCUAAGAACUUCAUCAUUAUUAAAGCACUUAGAAGGACUCUACAUAGACAGAGGGCACAGGAAUGAAUUGACUAUUUUGGAAUGGUUUUAAAAAAAUGAAUGGGUAGGAAAUAAGGGCAGGGAGAGAAUGGAGUCUCCCCUGCUGGGUCAGGGUCAAAAUGAGGUAGUGGUGGAAUGGAAUCAAGUAUAAAGAAAAAGGGGAUGGAUUGAUUUCCCUCUCUCUUCUCCCUGGAAAACCCCACUCUGACUGCCUUCAAUAUCACAAACUUCGGUUCCCUCAGACUUGGUUGAAACAAUUAUAUCAACAGCUUCUCCCUCACUGAGGAGAGAAAUGUAACUUUCCUCCCCCCCCCCAAUCUCCCAAAUCCCUUUCUUAGAUACUAUGAACAAAUAAAGGGGUAGGGCAAUUGAACUGAAGAAUAAGGUAAUGGGAAAGAGGGAAUAGGAGGUCCCUAAAGUAACUGAAUCCCUUCUCCCCAAAAGUCUGGCAGGAUUAGGCUUUGCUUGCCUGACCCCCUCGGUCAGUUAUGAACAUAUCUUGACUUUCCUAGCUGCCUUGGCUAUUAUAAGUUCAAGGACUUUCAGGGGAUUCAGAGGAAUUCUUAUAGCGAACAGCUUCCAGUUGAAGUCCUGUUCACUCAGCUUGUUUCUUUGGAAAUUAGGUCAGGAGUCACAGGAGGAAAGUGCUAGUUCAGAGAUCCACUCAGGUCCUCCUUUCUUAGGCUUCCCAGAAAGAAGUCCCUUCUCCAACUGACCAGAUUCUCUUACUUCCUCUUCCUUCCUUCAGAAUUUUCUCUCCUUCCUGCCCUUCCCCAUUCCAGCUGGUUCUUCAGCCUGCAAAAUCUGCUUCUCUCUUCCUUCUGACAGCUUGAGUCCAAUUCCUCUUUUGCAAUAGGGAUACAUUGGGAGAAGGGGGAAGAGAAAGGGAGAAAUGGGGGAGAUUAUGUCACAUAAAAGAAGCACAUGAGAAAGAGUUUUUACAGCAGAGGAGGACAUGGUAAGGAUGAGGGGAGUCGGGCAACACUUAAAUCUCAUUCUCAUCUGAACUGGUUCAAAGAGGGAAAAAAUAUUUAUCUAUCUGCAGAACCAAUUUGUUAUAAAAAUCUUACUAACAAGAUAUGUUGUAAAGGCUUAAAUAAGGUCCUGAAAGGCUUUGAAAUGCCUAAACUAAAAUGUACCUCUAAACCUCUAGUUAUAACAACAACUGUGUGAACAGAACAUCAUGAUCCAUACCCUACAUUUACAGUGAAUAUUUCAAAUAUUCAAAGGAACUAGUAAUAACACAGAGAUGGUGUUGUCCAUAACCAUGAGGAUGUUCCAUCAGUGCUUUUUUAAAAUUUUAAACCCUUACCUUAUGUCUUAGAAUAAAUUCCAAAUAUUGAUUCCAAGGCCAAAGAGCUAAGUGACUUGCCCAUGGUCACACAACUAGGAAGACUUGUCUUGGGUCAGAUUUCAAGCCAAGAUGUCCCAUAUCUAGACUUGGCUCUCUAUCCACUAAGAAGCCUAGCUACCUCUUCCAAAAAUACUUUUUUCCCCCUUUUUUAAAAAAUUUUACUUAAUUAGUUAAUUUAUAAUAUUUUUCCAUGGUUAGAAAAUUCAUGUUUUUUCCCUCCAUUCCCACCAAUCCUCUCCCAUAGCUGAUGCAUAAUUCCACUGGAUUUUACAUGUGUCAUUGAUCAAGACUUAUUUCCAUAUUAUUGAUAUUUGAACUAUUGAUCCAAGUGAUCAAGCAGUUGUUUUUCUUCUGUGUUUCUACUCCCACAGUUCUUCCUCUGAAUGCAAAUAGCAUUCUUUCUCAUAAGUCCUUCCAAAUUGUUCUGGAUCAUUGCAUUGCUGCUAGUAGAGAAGUCCACUACAUUCGAUUGUACCACAUUGUAUCAGUCUCUGUGUACAUUGUUCUCCUGGUUCUGCUUCUUUCAUUUUGCAUCAAUUCCUGGAGGUUGUUGCAGUUCAAAUGGAAUUCCUCCAGUUCGUUAUUUCUUUGAGCACAAUAGUAUUCCAUCACCAACAUAUACCACAAUUUGUUCAGCCAUUCCCCAAUUGAAGAGCAUCCCCUCAUUUUCCAAAUUUUUGCUACCACAAAGAAUGUGACUAUGAAUAUUCUUGUACAGGUCUUUUUCCUUACUAUCUCUUUGGGGUACAAACCCAGAAGUGCUAUGACUGGAUCAAAGGGCAGACAGUCUUUUAGCGCCCUUUGGGCAUAUUUCCAAAUUGGCUUCCAGAAUGGUUCCGACAAUACUUUUGAAGUAUCCAUUUCUUGUUCUUACUUCAAGUAUUUUAGACAUGAAUCUUUAUAUAAUAAAUGUUCUUGUGGACAAAAGUUGUAUCUGAGCUCCUAGUAUUAUGCCUAGCACUACUAUGUAUAUAUCAAGAUAAUAUUAAGUGGCACUGAAUUCAGUUUUGAGAUGGAUGAGAGCUUUAUGUUCAGUUAGUAAUUUGCUUCCUAGAAGCACCCUGCUGCUACAGAAAUUCCAACAUUUCAAAAACCAAGAAGUUACCACUGAAUUGAAAAUAUUUAUUUAGGGCAUUAUUAUUCCUAAGAAACUUUUUGCAGGGAAAUACAAUAGUUUAGGAAAUAUAGUAACUUCCCCUUCAUUGUUCUUCUUGCAUGCCUUAGAAUAUGCUAAUUUCUUCCAAUCAAAUUUCAGAAAGAUAAAGUGAUAUAUGUUUGAAAUAUGUUUGAACAUGGUUCAUUGUUUCAUUCAUUUAGAGAUGACAUUGGCCAAAUAAAGUGCCUCAACAUGUAGCAACUAUAACUUAAAAAAGUCUUAUAGAACAAAGGAAUUAGAUUUGUUUCCUCAACAUCAGAAUUACGAUAACAUUUCAUUAUCUUGAACAAUAUAUCAAAAAUAUUUGCUGACCUUUCUUAAGAAAUCUAUGCUAGCUUUUCAGUUUGCAUAAUUUGAUACAAUUUUCAACCAUCAUCCUUAAAAUUUUUCCUUCUCUUAUUUGUUAAUUAUAGUCAUUGUAAGGAGGAAAGUGGAAAAAUCUUUACAGCACCAAAACAAAUUGAUCACUUUUUUGACUAAAUAAAAAAGCAAUGUCAAAUCUACUUCCCUUUAUUUUCCAUGGCCAACUAAACUUAUGGUACCAUGUAAAAUCUGCUAUAUACUCCAAAUCCUUUGUGCUUUUAACAAAACAUUUUGGGUAAGGUAGCAUUAUUAAAAACCACUUUUAGUACUCUUCUUACUGUGAAUAGCUUAAUCCAGAAAGCAUUUUGGUCAUUUUUAAAGUCAUAACAUAUGGGCAGUUGUCUUAGGUCAGCGGCUUGAGACAGUGCCCCCCCCCCAUUUCUCUCUCUCUCUCUCUCUCUCUUAAAAUAGCAUUAUAUAUUUUUAAAAGUCAUAACAAACUUUUGGAAUUUCUUUUGCUUAGUAAAAUGAAUCCAUUUUUUGAGGGGAAGACAGGAAUGACUUACUAGAUCCUGAUGGAGUCUGCCUUAAUAUCCUUCUUUCUAUCUGAAUGUGUGUGUAUGGUUAAACAACCAAUGAACAAAAAAAUGUAAUACAUAAAUGAUUUUCAAAGUGAACUUUGAAGUAAACAAAUUGGGUUGCAAUGAAUUGUAUAAACUAUGCUUUGGAACUGAUUUGCAGUAGACAGGAAUUCUGAGAAGUUGUUCCUUACUAUCAAAAGAAAAAAAUGAUGAUGACUUGGGCAGAGUUAAAUGAGCCAAUGUUAAUAAUAACAAACCAACAUCCUUAUCAUAAAUGAAUGUCUUAACAUGCACCAAAGAACCAUUCCUAACACAGAAUUGUCAUGGUUUCUGACUUUGAAGAGCAUUGGAUAAUGUUUUUGAAGUCACUCAAUUGUUAUGCUUAGUUCAAGUAUUUUAGGCAUAUCUAAUCAUUUCCAUCGACAGUCUUAGUAGUUUAAAAAAAAAUAACAAUCACCAUGAUAUGUAGAAGUAUAGAUACUGGCUCAAAAUGGAAGUGUUUUACUUUCAACUACUCUUCCACCCACUGAAAUUUAUUACUGUACUUGGCCCAUUAAUGAAGACUAUUUAAGUUGCUGCAGCAUCUAUACUAGCACUACCCAGGAUUCUUCAUAAUGUUGCAAUAAAUUCAGCCUUGAAAUCAUGGAGAGGAUCAAAAUCAUUUUUAAAGGGCAGAAAAAAUUGAUUUGAAAUACUAGCCUAUAAACAGCCAUAGACACAUGAAAUUGAAUUCUUCACUGUACCUCAUAAACCUUCUGCAUCAGGAGGCCACUUUUCAAGUUCUGGCAUAUUUAUCAGACAGGCCAUCCAGUCAUUUCCAAAGCUCAUUCUAAAGAGAUCACAUAAAUAAAAUUAAACUUAUUUCAGUCUCAGAACACUGGCACAAUAAUUUGCUUCUGGGUCAAAACUCUACAUGCAUGCUUGAGUUUUCCCCUAACUAGGUUUCCUGAAGAAUUUCUCAAAUUGGCUCUCAGAGAUUUCAAGCCUCCUCCCCAAAAGGACAAAAACUUCAGAAAAACAUCAAUGAAUCUCUCGGGCUAGACUAUUAUAUCUUCAGAGUUACACUAUAACUAAAGAUAAACAUAGCUACUCAUAAUAGAAACGGACAACCUUUAGACCUACUAUAUUAAUCAAUGGUUAAAUGCAAACUGAGCACUGAAUUACCAUCAUGGGGGAUCCCUUGCUACAACUUGUUAAUUUGAUGUUACCUCAUAGGAGUCAUUCAAUCUAAAGACCUCAUUUGGAAAAAGUGAACCUGCUGUAACUAGAGGAAAAUAACUCAUUUCUCUUAACUUGAUUUAACUUAGUUGGAUCUAAUCAGUCUUAAAACAUAUUGCUGUUCUAAAUUGGAACUUUAGGUUCAUUGGGAACAUAGCCAAAAUCUUGUCCUCUAGAAUUGAUUAUACAAAGUUUUGGAGGUUUUGUUUUUAUUAUGGGAUGUAUUCUCCCACUACUGCAUUAUAGAUGGUCAAAGAGUUGAAGUGAGUAUGUUUUUUUCUUUAUGCUGUUUUAUGAAAAAUAAGACCACCUUACUAAAAAAUAUUUUUAAAAUUAUUCCUUCUCAAAAAAAAGGCAGCAUGAAAUAGUGACUAGAGAGACAGUCUCAAAACCAAAAAGACUUAGGUUUAAAUCCUACAUUUUACUUACAUGAUGGCAGUGUGACCAUGAGCAUAUUAUAACAUUUCGGUGCUCUAGGAAACUCUCUGAAACUAUAAGUUGCAGAAAUAGGGCAGUUUUGGUAGAGGUUUCUUCAUUAGCUAGUUUACUGUACCAAUAAAAUCCCUAUCUCUACCAUUCUCAUCCCACCUAUCUACCCCUAUCCCUGCCCUGAAAAGAGAAGCAAAAAAUGGCAAGUAGCCUUAGAUUUAGCUUCUAGUAACAGCUGUAAGAGAUUGUGUCUUUGUAACAGCACUCAAUGUUUUAGGAGCAGGAAAGUUUAUUUGUUUCCGUUAAGAUGCACAAAUCCUUUUCAACCCCAAACUAGGUUCUGUUUGCUCAAACCACCAUCUUUAACCAGUUUCCCAACUGACUGACCUAGGUUCCACUAACUAUUUGAUCCAGACUCAAGAAUGAUUGACAGGUAUGGCAAAUCCCACCAGGGAAGCUCAGUGCAGAGAGAAUGAUAGAUUUUAAAUGCUUCAAUUAUCCUUAAGCAGCCCAGGCUGCUCCCUCAGAUUCCAAAGAUGACUUACUCAGAGCCCAGGGAGGUGGGAUCACUAACUGGAACAGUUUCAGCAUAUCAUAGGAUCUGCCCACAUCUUUUUUAUUUUAAAUGCCAUUGAAAAUGUUUUUAUAAUUUAAAAAAUUAUUUGUACUUUUAUAAGGCUCUAGAAUUAUGGACUGCUUUACAUGUUUCCUCACAUUUCAUACAAUAGCAUCCUAUCAUAGAAUUAUAGAUUUAGAAUUGGAAAGGACCUUAGAGAUCUGGCAAAAUGGGUCAUUUUUACAGAUAAGUAAACUAAGAGAAAUGAUAUGACUUUUCUAAGGAUAGAAAGAAAUGAGCAUUUAUUAAGUACCUAGCACAUGACUACGUGCCAGUCAUAAUGUUAAGUAAUUCUUAUUAUAUUAUCUCAUUUCAUCCUCACAAACAGCCCUAGGAGGAAAGUGUUCUUAUUUUAUAUUUACAUUUACAUUACCCUUUUACAAUUGAGGAAAUUGAGGCAGACGAAGGUUAAAUGGCUUGCCCAAAGUCAUAGCUAAUAUGUGUUUGAAGCCAGAUUUGAACUCAGUUUUAUCUGACUGAAGGUCCAAGAUUCUAUCCUUUGGGACACCUAGACAGAAUUCAAAUACAGAUCCUCUCAUGCUUCUUAGCCCUCUGAAGUGAGAGUGUAAAUUGCCUUGUCCCUUUCUUAUAAUUAAAUGACUUAGCCAACAUCACACAACUAGAAAAUGGCAAAUAAUGGACUUAAAUCUAGUUAGACUUUAUGCCAAAGAGGCCUGGGCAAAGUGGACAGAGAUCCAGAUCUGGAGUCAGGAAGACUCAUCUUCAUAAAUUCAAAUCCAGCCUCAGACACUUACUAGAUGUAUGGUGCCAGGUAAGUCAUUAACCCUGUUUUGUUUUGUUUUGUUUUUCAGUUUCCUCAUCUGUAAAAUAAGUUGAAGGAGGAAAUAGCAAACCACUUCAAAUCUUUGCCAAGAAAGCCCCAAAUCAGGGUCACAAAGAGUCAAACACAAACAACACAAGCAGCUUUCCACCAUAUCAAGCAGAAGCAAUAUAAUUAUAGGGGAAGAGAGGGAGGAAAGAAGGAAAAGGUUCACACUCAAAUAUUUGAUGUCGUGAAGACAAAAUAUAUGAGCUUUUUUUUCAAUGAAAUACAUUAUAUCGUGACGCAGUUGAGAUAGUUAAAUCUGAGGCUUCCAGGGAAUAUCAUCUUAUUAAAAUGAAACCAUCAAGACAGCAUAUUGUGGGGAAAUAUUUUAGCAAUUUGAACAAACAGAAGAGACUGCAAGACUUUGCAACUAAUGUCCAAU